rnacentral:lncRNA from 1 species
GUAUUUUCGAAAUUACAUAAUGUUAGAUAUUACGUGUUUAUUGGUAGUUGGUUUACACCGCUGAUAUAACGAAUUUUACUCGAGAAGAAAUUGGCGCAUGCUGACGUGUCAGAGGCACAAAAUAGGAGUUGAUGAUUUUGAGCUACUCACCAUGAUAGGAAAGGGUGUUUUGAUGAGGUAGAAAAAUGGGUCGAUCCGAAGAAUGGGCAGGCAACAGGGAAGAUAAAACAUGUUGAUUCUGUACUAAGGGUAGUACAUUCAUUAUGUGAUUGAUCGGUAAAUGCAGUUGCUGCUGUGGUCGUUUUCGUGUUGAUGAUAUUGAUGAGUAUAAACAAGAAAAGGGAAGUGAUCUACUGUCAGGAGUUGAAGCUAUAAUAAGCCAAUUUAGUGGUAAAAAAUUUCAAAAUCCCGUGAGCACAUGCUCCUGCGUUGUUACCUCCUCCACUUACCCAAUCUUUGUGUCCAAAAUCCGCUGCCUAAAAAGUAAAAUUACUAUUAUGUCCUUGCUAUACUUAUAUACGUUUAAGUACAUUUAGCCAUACAUACAUCUAAAAGCGCCCUUUUUAAUGAGAAAUGUUAUAGACAGUUGGGAUAUACAUUCUUUCCGUAUCAACUAGCAUAUCGCAAAUCUUCUGAUCCUGUUUCAAAACUUGUGUGAUAAAUUUUUCUUCGUUAUCCUUGAACUCUGAUGGAGGAGAAUGGACAACUUCAUCAAGCAAUCCA